UGUUUCCUUUUUUGUUUUUGUAGAAUUUGGUACAAACAACAAAAAUAUUACUUAAUGAUAACAGGGGUUGUGAAGUCAACAAAUUUCUAAUUUACAAUAAGAAAAAGGAACACAAUCUUUUAAAUUUAGAACACGAACAGUGGGAGACCUCAGUUUGCUUUCUACAAAAAUUCACUUCAUGCAGCUCUAUAUGCAGCAAGCUUGGCUAUGUAUAGGAAUGCCACCUAUAAAUUUUUUAGCACAGCCGUUGUACUGGUUUUGGCACUGUCGGGGAGAGAGCGAGCAGUUAUGUGGUGCUUAGCUGUCGGCUGGGGUGAAACCAUGGCAGCUGUUUAGAGUGCCUUGUCUGUGGUCCUUCCUUAAUUUAAAAACUAUAGGCUUGGGUAAGCAGAAAGUGCUCUGAAAUUCCUCAGUUACAAAACAGUAGCAAAUGGCAUCUUAAUAGCACUUAGUAUUUGCUAUACAGCUAUAGUAUUUGCUAGUAUUUGCCCUCCUAUACAUGAGGCCACGUGCACAAAAGCAUUACUGUUUUGUAUUUCAGAGUAGGCGACUUAAUUGGAACCCAUUGUAAAUUGGACAAGGUGCCCCAUGUUAACAGGGAGAAAACACGAACAUGACUGGGUUCGUAAAAAAAAAAAAAAAAAGAAAAAGGUUGUUUUCUUUUCUUUCUGGGUUAAAAGUAUGAUAGCAGGUUGAUAUGAAUCAAAUUUCAUCUUUUUCCAAAAUAAUAAAAAUUUUCAUAAUAAUCUCUUUGGACGGGCAUUCAUUAUAACCAAUGAGGUGCAACAUCCCAGAAGGGGAUCCCAUAGCCCAAAGUGUUUUUGAAGACCCUCCACGCUGUUUCUGAAAACAGAAGUUCCCUGCUGAACCCCACUUGCCUGGACACUGCUGGGUUUGGGCAGUGGAAGGGCUUCAUGGAACUCCUUGGUUACAAAGUAGUAGCAGAUGCUAUCCAGGCAGCAGUUGGAUGUGGCAAUACACCUCGUCACAGAGGAGAAGUUCUUCAUAACCUGGAGCAGGAAACAGGUAGCUCCGACGCUCUCCAUUAUGAACCUGACAAGUAGCCCAAGACAUCUCUUAAGGUUCCUGAUUACUUCUGCGGAGCAAAAAGUCAAGAUUGCUAAUGGAAGAGUAAAAACGAAGAAAAUAGAAAGCAGCCUCAGAGUAGUGGGCAUGGUGGUAUCCUUCUGAAAGCAGAGAUCGGCGUG